CCUACGGGAGGCAGCAGUGAGGAAUAUUGGUCAAUGGGCGGGAGCCUGAACCAGCCAAGUCGCGUGAGGGAAGACGGUCCUAUGGAUUGUAAACCUCUUUAGGCGGGGAGCAAUGCCGGGCACGCGUGCCCGGAGGGAGAGUACCCGCAGAAUAAGCAUCGGCUAACUCCGUGCCAGCAGCCGCGGUAAUACGGAGGAUGCGAGCGUUAUCCGGAUUUAUGGGGGUUAAAGGGUGAGUAGGCGGAUUUUUAAGUCAGCGGUAAAAUGUCCGGGCUCAACCCGGGCCGGCCGUUGAAACUGGGGAUCUUGAGUGUGCGAGAAGUAUGCGGAAUGCGUGGUGUAGCGGUGAAAUGCAUAGAUAUCACGCAGAACUCCGAUUGCGAAGGCAGCAUACCGGCGCCCGACUGACGCUGAGGCACGAAAGCGUGGGGAUCGAACAGGAUUAGAUACCCUUGUAGUC
rnacentral:rRNA from 1 species